AGUGAACGCUGGCGGUAGGCCUAACACAUGCAAGUCGAACGGCAGCACAGUAAGAGCUUGCUCUUACGGGUGGCGAGUGGCGGACGGGUGAGGAAUACAUCGGAAUCUACUUUUUCGUGGGGGAUAACGUAGGGAAACUUACGCUAAUACCGCAUACGACCUACGGGUGAAAGCAGGGGAUCUUCGGACCUUGCGCGAUUGAAUGAGCCGAUGUCGGAUUAGCUAGUUGGCGGGGUAAAGGCCCACCAAGGCGACGAUCCGUAGCUGGUCUGAGAGGAUGAUCAGCCACACUGGAACUGAUACACGGUCCAGACUCCUACGGGAGGCAGCAGUGGGGAAUAUUGGACAAUGGGCGCAAGCCUGAUCCAGCCAUACCGCGUGGGUGAAGAAGGCCUUCGGGUUGUAAGGCCCUUUUGUUGGGAAAGAAAAGCAGCAGGUUAAUACCCCGCUGUUCUGACGGUACCCAAAGAAUAAGCACCGGCUAACUUCGUG
rnacentral:rRNA from 1 species